GGCUGCCGGGUCAUGAGCUGCAGUCGACGGACGAGCUUGCUCGUUAGUGGCGGACGGCUGAGUAACGCGUGGGUGACCUGCCCCGAAGUGGGGGAUAACUGCCCGAAAGGGUGGCUAAUACCGCAUGUGGCGACGUCUUCAGUGACGUCAUCAAAGCCGCGAGGCGCUUCGGGAGGGGCCUGCGUCCGAUUAGCUCGUUGGUGGGGUAAUGGCUCACCAAGGCGACGAUCGGUAGGUGGUCUGAGAGGACGAUCACCCAGACUGGGACUGAGACACGGCCCAGACUCCUACGGGAGGCAGCAGUCGGGAAUUUUGCUCAAUGGGCGCAAGCCUGAAGCAGCAACGCCGCGUGAGGGAUGAAUGCCCUCGGGUUGUAAACCUCUUUUCUCAGGGACGAUGAUGACGGUACCUGAGGAAUAAGUCACGGCUAACUACGUGCCAGCAGCCGCGGUAAUACGUAGGUGACCAGCGUUGUCCGGAUUUACUGGGCGUAAAGAGCGCGCAGGCGGUCGUUCAAGUCGAGUGUGAAAGCCCCCGGCUCAACUGGGGAGGGUCACUCGAUACUGAUCGACUUGAAGGCAGGAGAGGGAAGCGGAAUUCCCGGUGUAGUGGUGAAAUGCGUAGAUAUCGGGAGGAACACCAGUGGCGAAGGCGGCUUCCUGGCCUGUUCUUGACGCUGAGGCGCGAAAGCUAGGGGAGCAAACGGGAUUAGAUACCCCGGUAGUCCUAGCCGUAAACGAUGGACACUAGGUGUUGGUGGUAUCAACCCCACCAGUGCCGAAGCUAACGCAUUAAGUGUCCCGCCUGGGGAGUACGGCCGCAAGGCUAAAACUCAAAGGAAUUGACGG
rnacentral:rRNA from 1 species